rnacentral:rRNA from 1 species
GACGAACGCUGGCGGCGUGCUUAACACAUGCAAGUCGAACGGAAAGGCCCUGCUUUUGUGGGGUGCUCGAGUGGCGAACGGGUGAGUAACACGUGAGUAACCUGCCCUUGACUUUGGGAUAACUUCAGGAAACUGGGGCUAAUACCGGAUAGGAGCUCCUGCUGCAUGGUGGGGGUUGGAAAGUUUCGGCGGUUGGGGAUGGACUCGCGGCUUAUCAGCUUGUUGGUGGGGUAGUGGCUUACCAAGGCUUUGACGGGUAGCCGGCCUGAGAGGGUGACCGGGCACAUUGGGCCUGCGAUACGGCCCAGACUCCUACGGGAGGCAGCAGUGGGAAAUAUUGCACAAUGGGCGGAAGCCUGAUGCAGCAACGCCGCGUGCGGGAUGACGGCCUUCGGGUUGUAAACCGCUUUCGCCUGUGACGAAGCGGGAGUGACGGUAAUGGGUAAAGAAGCACCGGCUAACUACGUG